rnacentral:rRNA from 1 species
ACGCUCGACACCUACUGGAGGCAGCAGUGGGGAAUAUUGCACAAUGGGGGAAACCCUGAUGCAGCGACGCCGCGUGGAGGAAGAAGGUCUUCGGAUUGUAAACUCCUGUUGUUGGGGAAAAAGAGGAUGGUACCCAACAAGGAAGUGACGGCUAACUACGUGCCAGCAGCCGCGGUAAUCUGAGCGGGCUGGCAAGGC